UGGGGAAUAUUGCACAAUGGGGGAAACCCCGAUGCAGCAACGCCGCGUGAAGGAAGACGGUUUUCGGAUUGUAAACUUCUUUUCUUAGUGAAGAAGAAAGUGACGGUAGCUAAGGAAUAAGCAUCGGCUAACUACGUG
rnacentral:rRNA from 1 species